rnacentral:misc_RNA from 1 species
GAAAAUAAUAAACAAUAUGGGUUUUGGUUGACAAAGAGGACACGUUCACCCCUUGAGCCAAUAUGUAGCUUUUAGAUCUUUUUUUAACAUGUAGAUGACCAUUCUAAAUGCUUGCUCAAUAAGCAAUAGAAACGCCUCUAUAUAAUGUACCAACAGCUGAAACCAAUGGUGCAUCACAACUAGGAGACUGAUCCCGGAAACCUUCACUGCUUCUGGCAAUUGAGUAAAUGCCUUUCAGACUUUCGGUGCCUUUUUUUUCUUUUUAUUUUUCU